UUAAGUUUGAAACCGAACAUUUGAGGCUGAAAAUAAUUACAUUUAUUUUAGAAUAUCAAAACGUUUUGGACAUUUUAGAUUUUUUUGGUCAAACACCAACAUUUUUUGAACUGUUCUAUUUGGUUUUCAGAUAUCUAUGGCCCAGAUUUGGUUCCACGGUGGCAGACAUAAAACCCUGUCCACCUUUGUCAUGUGAGGGAUCACACAUCAGUGUAAGAAUGUAAGGGUGGGGUCACCUGGACCCAUUAGAGAGCACGAGGUUAAAGGAGCAGAUCAGCUGUGGAGGCGGGAAACCUCCUCCCAUCCAGCAGCUUCCUGUCAGAACCAAACACGGAUUCUCAAGAACAGUCAUGAAACCGAACCACAGAAACGGACUUCGUUUUUUUUCUGGACCAGAACUUUUAAGAAGAUGAACUUCACGUCAGCUGCAGCUGCAUCCUCCUCAUGCACUCUGCAGCGCUGCUGCGGGGCAGGACGGCGCCAUCUAGCGGCAGAAUCCGGUUCAGAGCUUGUUGCUGCUUUCCUUAAGGUGAAAAGGUCAACAUUCAGCUAAAACCCACACAUCCAGAAACCUGACGGACUGGUCCACCUGCGGGGGAGCAGGUGAGGAUGAGGAGCUGAACUUCAGGAGGACCGUGAGGCUGAAGCUUCAGAGCAGUGAAGCUGCUCCUCUCCUCAUGGGUCCUGCUGCAGGUCUGAACUUCAUGCUGGGAUCUUUCAGGUUCCCCAGAAACGAUGGUGGAGCGGCAGUGGAGAAGUUCUGUCCGUGGAUCCAUCCUGAAGGUUUCUGUUUUCCCCUCUGAUGCUUGUCCUGUGGAUCUGUCGGUUCCAGAAAGCGUUUUUGAAGACCAUCAUCUCACAUCAUCACAUCAGAUGCAGCUUUGGAUCAUCAGGAGCAUCAGAUCCUCUGCAGAGGAGGAGCACAGACAGCAGGUAAGAGGAGGCUUCAGGUGACCUGAGCUCCUUCUUUCACCUGGAAGCUUUCAGACAGGUGGGCCGGACCCCCACCACCCUGUGGCGCCGACAGGACACGUUCCGGAUCCAGUACUUCCUGAAGAGCUCGUCCCUGCAGCCGUAGAUGACAGGACUCAGGAACCGAGGGAUGAUGUAGACCAGCAGGAAGAAGACGUAACGGAUCUCCAGACUCAGCAGCGGGAAAAGAGAGAUGAGAGCGGCCUGGAGGGAGGGAACCACGAAGGCCAGCAUGCAGAGCAUCAGCUGCAACAGACACGACAUGUGAGAACUGAACCCAGACGUCCUCAUGCUGCAGGAACCUUGACCUCUGAGGUACUUCUGUUUGCUCGCAGAUAUAACCCCACCCCCAAAAAACUCUUCAGAUCUAUGAGGUCACGGAUCAAAUCAAACAAAAAUAUCACAAUUUCAGAGUAAAAACGGGUUAAAUCUGCUUCAUAUUUUCAUUCUGAGGGUUGCAUGAGGAAGUUCCUCAGGAAACUGACGGAUCCUUUGAAACAAAAACCUUCUCAGUUCUGUGAACAGAAAUGGAUCAAACAGCUCUGAUGGUAACUGUGAUUUAAAACGAUAAAACCUUUUUAUUCUUUUCAUAAGUAAAGAAUUUUCUGUCCCGACUGUAAAGUUUGCGACCGGACUCCGAGCGGACUCCUGCAGCUUCCCGUCCCUCCGGUGACACCCACCUGCACCCCGUGCAGCAGAACGGUGUUCCUGGCUCUGUUGACGGAGGCCAGGCCGGCAGAGGCGGCCCGCGCCGUCAGCAUGAUCCUGCAGUAGGUGUAGAGCAGCGUGAGGACCACGAAGGACAGGUACAGCCCGUCAAACACGCAGUUCUUGUAGUAGACGGACGAGUGGCGGAAGAGCUGUGAGUGGUCGCAGAAAAUGGCGCUCUGGAAGAAGGUCGGGGGCUCGGUGAGGGUGGUGAUGAGGAGGUCUGUGACGGGGGGGGCGGCCGUGAGGAUGAGGAUGAUGCUGAUGAGGAGGAGGGUGCGGGGCACUGUGCACGUCUGGCUGUAGUGCAGGGGAAAGCAGAUGGAGACGAAGCGCUCCACCGCCAUGCCGGCGAGGAUGAGAGGGGUGGAGCGAGUGGUGAACACCGCCGUCAUCACCUGACAAAACAGAGGAGGACAUCCUGAAGCUGGAGACACGUCCUCCACAGACUCCUAAAACCAGAGAGUCCGCCAGAGCAGCGGCGGGAGUCUGAGGCGUACCAGAGGGCAGCAGACCGGCACCGGGACCUUCCUGAAGAUGUAGCUGACCACAUAGAGCGCCGUGACCAGGCUGAGCUGCAGAGCGUCGUUGACCACCAUGCUGAUGAACAUGAUGUAACGCGGGUUCUCGUAGAAGACUCUGGAGGCAAACACACGUUUCAGACGGACGCAGAACCAGGACGGCGAGCUCCUGAAGCUCCGCCCUCACCUGUGCUGCAGGAACGUCUGCACCAUGCUGACGCUGAUCACGCUGAUGGCCAGCCACACCAGCAUGGCCAUGAUGUUCUUGGUCAGAGCAUUGGCAAAGCUGUCUUUGGGCAGAGCUGCAGCGCCCCCUGCCAGCAGAGAGCUGUUACUGAGGAGCAGAUCUGGAGGAGCGGCGGCGGCGCUGGAGGUCAUCUGUGACUGACCUCAGUGCAUUCUGGGGGAGGGACACCGACAUGGCUGAACUCAGAGAAGCAAACAGAUUCUAACAAACAAAAACUUUUAUAAUCAUUUUAAUUCAAAAUAGUUUUUACCAGAUAAACAAAUUCUGUUUGAUGAUGAGAAACUUUCAAAGAUUUUCUGCAGUCAAAUAAAAAUGUAAACAAAGGAAAUAAAUAUUCACAUUUGAUUCUAAUGUAAACCACUUUGACAGAAUAUGUUCAUCAUCUUCAUCAGACCUGCCUCAGCAGCUCAGGGUUUCCAUCCUGCAGUUAAUGAUAAGAAACAAUAAUCAGAUCUAUUGACGACAGCAGAUGUUUCAGUGAAGUCGAGGUGUUCAUCAUCCUCACAGCAGCUGCAUACUCACUGAAGGUGGAGUGAAGGUGGAGCUCUGAUGAAGCUCGGCUGCCUCGUCUGCCAGCCUGCAGCUCAUUUAUACACAAGCCCUGAGUGCUGCACUGAGGGAUUGUGGGUAAAAAAGGUCUCUGGGACGGGCUCAGAGGUGUGAUCAGGUGCUUCUGCUGUCAGCGGGGGUUAAGGUUUGAAUCCCGAGACAGCCGGCUUUACAGACAUUACUGAACAGCAGAGUUCUGAGGACAGAACGUCGUCUGGACCGACUGGGUCAGAACCAGAUUCAACCUGGAGGGAACUUCAGUUCUGCUGAAAGAUGCAGGAUGAAAACCAGCAAUCCUUGAUCCUGUUUACUGAAUAAAUUAUUCAGAUUUGGAGACAACCUGACAGUUGGAGGUUUUUAUUGACUCUAAUUCUCUGAACAAAUAAAAAAUAAGAAAAA